rnacentral:rRNA from 1 species
UACAGAGGUCUCAAGCGUUGCUCGGAAUCACUGGGCGUAAAGCGCACGUAGGCGGGUCGUUAAGUCGGGGGUGAAAUCCUGGAGCUCAACUCCAGGACUGCCUUUGAUACUGAAGAUCUUGAGUUCGGGAGAGGUGAGUGGAACUGCGAGUGUAGAGGUGAAAUUCGUAGAUAUUCGCAAGAACACCAGUGGCGAAGGCGGCUCACUGGCCCGAUACUGACGCUGAGGCACGAAAGCGUGGGGAGCAAACAGG